rnacentral:ncRNA from 1 species
UGGCCAAGUGAUAGUGGCACACGGUGGAUGCCUUGGCAUCAGGCGCCGAUGAAGGACGUGGGAGGCCGCGAUAGGCCACGGGGAGCUGUCAACCGAGCUUUGAUCCGUGGGUGUCCGAAUGGGGAAACCUAGCCCGAGUUGUGUCGGGUUGCCGCCACCUGAAUGUAUAGGGUGGUUGGUGGUGACGCGGGGAAGUGAAACAUCUCAGUACCCGUAGGAAGAGUAAACAACAGUGAUUCCCCUAGUAGUGGUGAGCGAACGGGGAAGAGGCUAAACCGUAUGCGUGUGAUAGACGGCAGUCGUUGCGUGUGCGGGGUUGUGGGGCGCAUCUGUUCGGGUCUGUCGGCCCGGAGCGCUGAUGCUGGUGAUAGUUGAAUCCGUUGGGAAGCGGAACCGUAGUGGGUGAGAGUCCCGUAGACGAAGUUGCCGGCUAGGUGUUGGUGUGUUCCCGAGUAGCGCGGAGCCCGUGAAAUUCCGUGUGAAUCUGGCAGGACCACCUGCUAAGCCAAAAUACGUCCUGAUGACCGAUAGUGCACUAGUACCGUGAGGGAAAGGUGAAAAGUGCCCCGGUGAGGGGUCGUGAAAUAGUACCUGAAACCGUGUGCUGUCAAGCCGUCAGAGCUGAAGCUUGUCUUUGGUGAUGGCGUGCCUUUUGAAGAAUGAGCCUGCGAGUCAUGGUGUGUGGCGAGGUUAACCCGUGUGGGGUAGCCGUAGGGAAACCGAGUCUGAAUAGGGCGUUUGAGUCGCAUGCUGUGGACCCGAAGCGGAGUGAUCUACCCAUGUCCAGGGUGAAGCGGGGGUAAGACCUCGUGGAGGCCCGAACCCACCAGGGUUGAAAACCUGGGGGAUGAGGUGUGGGUAGGGGUGAAAGGCCAAUCAAACUCCGUGAUAGCUGGUUCUCCCCGAAAUGCAUUUAGGUGCAGCGUCACGUGUUUCUUGCUGGAGGUAGAGCUACUGUUUGGCUGAUGGGCCCGACCAGGUUACUGACGUCAGACAAACUCCGAAUGCCGGUGAAGUGAAGCGUGGCAGUGAGACUGCGGGGGAUAAGCUUCGUAGUCGAGAGGGAAACAGCCCAGAUCAUCAGCUAAGGCCCCUAAGCGUGUGCUAAGUGGGAAAGGUUGUGGAGUUGCUGAGACAACCAGGAGGUUGGCUUAGAAGCAGCCAUCCUUUAAAGAGUGCGUAAUAGCUCACUGGUCAAGUGGUUCUGCGCCGAUAAUGUAGCGGGGCUUAAGUACACCGCCGAAGCUGUGAAGCCCAGGACUUGUUUCUGGGUUGGUAGGGGAGCGUCGUGCAUCCGGGGAAGCUGCCGAGUGAUCGUGUGGUGGAGGGUGUGCGAGUGAGAAUGCAGGCAUGAGUAGCGAAAGCAGCGUGAGAAACGUUGCCGCCGAUUGACUAAGGGUUCCUGGGGCAGGUUAAUCCGCCCAGGGUGAGUCUGGACCUAAGGCGAGGCCGACAGGCGUAGUCGAUGGAUAACGGGUUGAUAUUCCCGUACCCGUGCACGAGCGUCCAGUAUCGAGGCGACGGAUGCUAACCACGCUGGCUC